UACGUAUGGGGCAAGCGUUAUCCGGAUUUACUGGGUGUAAAGGGAGCGUAGGCGGCAUGGCAAGUCAGAAGUGAAAUGCGGGGGCUCAACCCCUGAACUGCUUUUGAAACUGUCAAGCUAGAGUGUCGGAGGGGUAAGCGGAAUUCCUAGUGUAGCGGUGAAAUGCGUAGAUAUUAGGAAGAACACCGGUGGCGAAGGCGGCUUACUGGACGAUUACUGACGCUGAGGCUCGAAAGCGUGGGGAG
rnacentral:rRNA from 1 species